CGGUCUGUAGUUUAAUUUGGUGAAACAUAGUUCUCAUGAAACUAAUAUUGCAGGUUCAAGUCCUGCUAGACCGA
rnacentral:tRNA from 1 species